GUGCCAGCCGCCGCGGUAAUACGUAGGGUGCAGGCGUUGUCCGGAAUUAUUGGGCGUAAAGAGCUCGUAGGCAGCUUGUCGCGUCUGCUGUGAAAUCCCGGGGCUCAACCCCGGGCGUGCAGUGGGUACGGGCAGGCUAGAGUGCGGUAGGGGAGAUUGGAAUUCCUGGUGUAGCGGUGGAAUGCGCAGAUAUCAGGAGGAACACCGAUGGCGAAGGCAGAUCUCUGGGCCGUUACUGACGCUGAGGAGCGAAAGCAUGGGGAGCGAACAGGAUUAGAAACCCCUGUAGUCC
rnacentral:rRNA from 1 species